CCCAUCCCCUUCCCCCAUCUGCGUCCAUCUCGAAAAUAGUGCGCCAUUUCUGUCACAACAUAUGGCAGCCAAUGGGAGCUACCAAAUCUCAACUUUCGUUUGACGGGCUGCAGGCCGUCAGGUCGACGGUGACGGGCCCGACACCGACAGACUGACGGUCAUGUGUGAACUGCGUUUAAAAUGAAAGGCUGGAAUGAGUUCUAUAGCCUUGGCUGGAAUAGCGAUAGGUUCAACUUUCAAGAAGCCAUGGACCAUGGAAACAAAUAUCUUUAUAUACCCUGGAAACACUGUCUCGAAACGCCUGGAUUUGCAGUGCGAGCCGUAAGUUCUGUGACGCAGUGGCAGCCAGCAGCAUUCAAGCCAAGCACCCCGAAUGGUAUGCAAUUCAACGUCGCAGUAUGUUGCACGAUCGACCGAACCGAACAGCACCUAUCGACCGGUUCAAACCGGUAUCGACCGGCACACCUAACCUGCCGGGUUGGGUGUGCGGGGCCGGUCUGAAGCGCGUCAAAACACCGUGCCGGGGGCGGCACCAGUGACCCAGUUUGGGCUGUACGUCGGCGCCUCACCACGGAAACGCUCCCUCGAGACGGGUACAUUGCCCGGAGGGGAGGGGAGGGAAGUCGCGGCCAGUGUGCGUGAGUUGGGGGAGUAUUCUUGAGUGACUCAUUCAGCGGGUGAAUCAGGACGGCCGUCGAGUCGCCAUUUUGUGUGGUAGUUUGGCGAAAUCAAUGCCUGUUAGGGGUAAUCUCGCGAUCUUAAUGCGCGGCUUGCUGGGUGACACUCACGAUGCUUAGAGACCAUGAACGGCAAAGUAGUAUUCAAGCCUUGAGUGGCGUGCGGUACGCCAUAAGUAAAGCUUUCAGGAAAUUUGAAUUAUGUAUGUGCAAAGGUUGCUACGAGAGAUGAAAACAGGUCUUUCAUGUCCACAAGAAGCUGCCUAAAAUGUUCAAAAUUGAUGGGUGGUGCGGAAACAUUUCAUUUUGAAGCGGACAGACAUGACUUGAAGGAAACGUCUAGCUGAUGUGCAUUUGCGGCAAAAUAUUUGACACGGCAAAAUGCUAAACAUCGUUCGUAUUUCCAGAAUUAUUAUAACUAGCCGCCAUCUCGUCAGCUACAUAACGCUGUGGCACAUUAUCAGUUGUUGUGUGUUCUUUUUUCUAUCCAUUGGGUACGCAAAAGCCUGAUGCUCCGUUGUCAUCCUCGCCUUGUACAUACGUUUAUGCCAGGCCGGCUUCUGGAGUGUUUUUUUUCUCUCUUAGGAUAUCCACAGGGCUGACGUGACCUUCUAUCCAUAAUAUCCAUAGGUCUGUUGUCGCUUUCCAUUCGGAAUAUCCAUACGUCUGAUGUGGCCUUCUGCGUGAAAUACCCAUUGGUCUGAUGUGGUCUUCUACCUGGAAUAUCCUGUAGCCUGAGUUGACUUUCUACCCGGAAUAUCAAUACACCUGCUGUUGCUUUCUA